UCGCGUCGUCUUUCUGUCCUGCACGGCUCUCAAUGCUGGGGCCCAGCUCGCCGCUUGUUCCCAGGGGUCGCAGGGGCAGCCAUGGCUCAGGACCCUGCUUGCUGGGAGAUAGCACUCCAUGCUGAGCGAGGAUGCAGAAAGGCUGCAAAUCCAGAGCUACAAAGUCACAACCGCAAGGGGAGGUCUUCAGCGGAUCUCGGUGCCUCCACUCCCACGGCAAGCGUUGCUUGACUAGUUCUUUGUGCCCUAAACAGCAAUUAAGGAUCAAAGUGGAUCUGCCUUUGCCCGCACCAGGCAUCUCCGUCUGACUCCCGUCUGCUCGCUGCGGCGCGGCUCUGAUUUCCAGCUCCUGCCUUGCUUAUUUAACAUUCUGGAGCCUGUUUUGAGUGCCCCAAUAUUUUAAAAUAAA